rnacentral:siRNA from 1 species
ACCGCUCCCUUCUAUUAACAGGA